UCGCAGAAGGAGGAGCCCGCGUCCGAUUAGCUAGUUGGUGAGGUAAAGGCUCACCAAGGCAACGAUGGGUAGCCGGUCUGAGAGGACGGACGGCCACACUGGGACUGAGACACGGCCCAG
rnacentral:rRNA from 1 species